GACGAACGCUGGCGGCGUGCUUAACACAUGCAAGUCGAACGGAAAGGCCCUGCUUUUGUGGGGUGCUCGAGUGGCGAACGGGUGUGUAACACGUGUGUAUCCUGCCCUUGACUUUGGGAUAACUUCAGGAAACUGGGGCUAAUACCGGAUAGGAGCUCCUGCUGCAUGGUGGGGGUUGGAAAGUUUCGGCGGUUCGGGAUGGACUCGCGGCUUAUCAGCUUGUUGGUGGGGUAGUGGCUUACCAAGGCUUUGACGGGUAGCCGGCCUGAGAGGGUGACCGGCCACAAUGGGACUGCGGUACGGCCCAGAAUGCAACGGGAGGCAGCAGUGGAGAAUAUUGCGCAAUGAGCGGAAGCCUGAUGCAGCAACGCCGCGUGCGGGAAGACGUCCUUCGAGUUAUAAACCGCUUUCGCAUUUGACGAAGCGUGAGUGACGGUAAUGGGUAAAAAAGCACCGGCUAACUACGUG
rnacentral:rRNA from 1 species